rnacentral:misc_RNA from 1 species
GGACUGGUGGAAGUCGCUCUCGCGGCAGUCCUACAUCCAGACGUUCGGCAGCUCCGGCAUGUUCGAGCAGGACGACACCGAGAACUGGGAGUCGAUGACCCGCGUCUCCGUCGCCCUGUUGCCGCGCGACGGCGGCGCCACCCUCAACUACGGGAUGGGCCUGGGCCGCCAGCCGAUGGCCGAUUUCCCCGGCCCGGGCCAGGUCUACGAGGGCAAGUUCAACGAGGCGAACGCGCGGGCGUUCUACCGCGCGUGGCUAAA